GAUGAACGCUGGCGGCGUGCCUAAUACAUGCAAGUCGAGCGAACGGACGAGAAGCUUGCUUCUCUGAUGUUAGCGGCGGACGGGUGAGUAACACGUGGAUAACCUACCUAUAAGACUGGGAUAACUUCGGGAAACCGUAGCUAAUACCGGAUAAUAUUUUGAACCGCAUGGUUCAAAAGUGAAAGACGGUCUUGCUGUCACUUAUAGAUGGAUCCGCGCUGCAUUAGCUAGUUGGUAAGGUAACGGCUUACCAAGGCAACGAUGCAUAGCCGACCUGAGAGGGUGAUCGGCCACACUGGAACUGAGACACGGUCCAGACUCCUACGGGAGGCAGCAGUAGGGAAUCUUCCGCAAUGGGCGAAAGCCUGACGGAGCAACGCCGCGUGAGUGAUGAAGGUCUUCGGAUCGUAAAACUCUGUUAUUAGGGAAGAACAUAUGUGUAAGUAACUGUGCACAUCUUGACGGUACCUAAUCAGAAAGCCACGGCUAACUACGUGCCAGCAGCCGCGGUAAUACGUAGGUGGCAAGCGUUAUCCGGAAUUAUUGGGCGUAAAGCGCGCGUAGGCGGUUUUUUAAGUCUGAUGUGAAAGCCCACGGCUCAACCGUGGAGGGUCAUUGGAAACUGGAAAACUCGAGUGCAGAAGAGGAAAGUGGAAUUCCAUGUGUAGCGGUGAAAUGCGCAGAGAUAUGGAGGAACACCAGUGGCGAAGGCGACUUUCUGGUCUGUAACUGACGCUGAUGUGCGAAAGCGUGGGGAUCAAACAGGAUUAGAUAUCCUGGUAGUCCACGCCGUAAACGAUGAGUGCUAAGUGUUAGGGGGUUUCCGCCCCUUAGUGCUGCAGCUAACGCAUUAAGCACUCCGCCUGGGGAGUACGACCGCAAGGUUGAAACUCAAAGGAAUUGACGGGGACCCGCACAAGCGGUGGAGCAUGUGGUUUAAUUCGAAGCAACGCGAAGAACCUUACCAAAUCUUGACAUCCUUUGACAACUCUAGAGAUAGAGCCUUCCCCUUCGGGGGACAAAGUGACAGGUGGUGCAUGGUUGUCGUCAGCUCGUGUCGUGAGAUGUUGGGUUAAGUCCCGCAACGAGCGCAACCCUUAAGCUUAGUUGCCAUCAUUAAGUUGGGCACUCUAAGUUGACUGCCGGUGACAAACCGGAGGAAGGUGGGGAUGACGUCAAAUCAUCAUGCCCCUUAUGAUUUGGGCUACACACGUGCUACAAUGGACAAUACAAAGGGCAGCGAAACCGCGAGGUCAAGCAAAUCCCAUAAAGUUGUUCUCAGUUCGGAUUGUAGUCUGCAACUCGACUACAUGAAGCUGGAAUCGCUAGUAAUCGUAGAUCAGCAUGCUACGGUGAAUACGUUCCCGGGUCU
rnacentral:rRNA from 1 species